rnacentral:rRNA from 1 species
AACGCGAAGAACCUUACCUGGGCUCGAACGGCUUCUCAACGCCGGUGGAAACAUCGGUACCCCGCAAGGGGGUGGAGUCGAGGUGCUGCAUGGCUGUCGUCAGCUCGUGUCGUGAGAUGUUGGGUUAAGUCCCGCAACGAGCGCAACCCUUGUCCUGUGUUGCCAUACCGAAAGGUGGAACUCGCAGGAGACCGCCAGCGAUAAGCUGGAGGAAGGUGGGGAUGACGUCAAGUCCUCAUGGCCUUUAUGUCCAGGGCUACACACGUGCUACAAUGGACGGUACAAAGGGUCGCUAACCCGCGAGGGGGAGCCAAUCCCAAAAAACCGUUCUCAGUUCGGAUUGCAGGCUGCAACCCGCCUGCAUGAAGCUGGAAUCGCUAGUAAUGGCAGAUCAGCACGCUGCCGUGAAUACGUUCCCGGGCCUUGUACACACCGAGACGUA